AUGAACCGCCUGUACCUCACUCACCCCCGACGUCUUCUUCUUCCGAGUCCACAUGUUAGUCCUGGACUCCUCCAGCUGCAAUAAACCGUGUCCAGAGUUUAAACCUGGCAGCAGGUAUAUUGUGAUGGGCCACAUCUACCAUAAGAGAGGGCAGCUUCCUACAGCUCUGCUCCAGGUCCUGAGAGGCCAUCUCUGUCCAGGGGAUGGACUGCUGAGGAGCAGCAGCAGCUAUGUGAAAAGGUUUAACCCAAAAAGGGAAGGGCAAAUUCAAGGUGCAAUUCAUACCCAAUGCAUUUGA
rnacentral:lncRNA from 1 species